UACGUAGGGGGCGAGCGUUGUCCGGAAUUAUUGGGCGUAAAGAGCUCGUAGGCGGUUCGGUAAGUCGGGUGUGAAACCUCCAGGCUCAACCUGGAGUCGCCACUCGAUACUGCUGUGACUAGAGUCCGGUAGGGGAGCGUGGAAUUCCUGGUGUAGCGGUGAAAUGCGCAGAUAUCAGGAGGAACACCAGCGGCGAAGGCGGCGCUCUGGGCCGGAACUGACGCUGAGGAGCGAAAGCGUGGGUAGCAAACAGG
rnacentral:rRNA from 1 species